GUUCCUAUAGUUGAGGUGUACAACGAUG
rnacentral:tRNA from 1 species